UACUUAUGUUUGUAACAGUGAACUUCCAAGAGCACAAUAAUUGUAGAUUUUUUUUUCGUUAAUGAUAAAGAAAAACAUUUCUUUAAACUAUUUUCUUAUUAAUAUUGCUAUAUUUAAAAAAGAAAUCGUAAUAAUUUGAAUAUUAUCAUUUGAUAUCAUUAUUUGUGAUACUACAGUGUAGAAGAAAUAUCAAGAGAUUUUAGAAGAUCAAGUGUUUCUUAUAUAGAAUAAUAUUCACUCACAAAAUGUUGAAAGCUUUAAUAAGUUUCGGUCUUGGAGUCUAUACUGGUUUAUAUCUAAGUCAGAAUUAUGAGAUUCCAAAAAUAGAUGAUCCAAGUCAGAUACUAGUAAAAUUAAAAGAAUUUGCUGAAGAUUAUAGAAGGAAGUAAACUUUACAUUAAUAUAUUAUAUGUGAUAAAUAUAACAAUAUGUAACAUUCUUAACUUGUAAUAAUGUAGAAAUAUUUGUACACAUAAACUUACUCUUUUAUAUUUCUUUUA